AUGUCCAAAGCCAUCACUGCUAAUUCCAUGCAACGCUUUCUGCUACUCCUCAACAAAGCCUCAGAUCUUCAGGCAGCAACUUUAGAACUGAUGAAGAAGUGCAUCUAUUUGCUACUGCUGCAACUGCGAUGGCCAAGCCUUAGCCUUGAUUCUUCUCAUUUUGUGUACCACGUCUCAUUUAAAGACAGGAAGAAAAUUAUUCAUAUAAAAGUAUGUGAGAUAUCAACAAUUAACUGUGCUAUGAAUAUUAAUGGUAAGGCCACCACAUUAUAAGGCCUUAACCCAUCUCCUGCUCCUCUCUGCAUGCCUUACAUAGCAUCCAUGGAGCUUGUCAGUAAGUCAGAUCAGCACUUGUCCCUUGGCCGGAAUUGUCAGCUAUCGCUCUUAUUCUCAAACUUCUUGAAGGACUCACAAGCCAACUAAGAGUUUUCCCUAGAUCCCUGCCAUUAUUUUCUGCUUGAAUACAAAAUCAGCUGAUGUUGCCCUAGGUUAUCAUCUUGUUUGCUUUUCUUUGCAUCUAAGAACAUAAACAUUUUGAGCACCCACUAUGUGCAGAAGUCAUUAUAGUUGGUAGACAUCUGGCAGUGCAUGAUAAAAAUAGGUACUAUAUUAUAGUAAAUAAAUAAAACCUAGAGUUCACAGAUGGUAAUGCAUGUUUUGGAAGAAAAUAACUCAGGAAAGUGCAGUGGGAGAUGAUGGAAAGUGAAGACGUGUCCUCUCUUUUCCAGGUGAUGAACCAAGAAAGCUCUUGUGGAGAAGUUGACCGCCUAGCAACACCCAAGGGAAGUGGGGAUCCAGUCAUGUGACUACUGAGGGAGAAGAAUACUCCAGAUGCUGAAAGAAGAAAGGCAAAGUACAGGAAGUCUGUCUGGGCAUCUAUGAGCACCAAGGAAGCCAAAGAGCCUAAGACAGAGUGAGGAAAGAGGAGACUAAUAGAAGAUAAGGUCAGUUAUGAGAUGGAUGUCAGAGAGAAAAUUGCACAGGCUCUCAGCUGUCAUUGUCAUGGCUCUGUAUUUACUCAGGACAAGAGACACUGUUUUAAUUUCUUAUAGCUGCUAUAACAAAUUUGUUAUAAUCACCACAAGAUUAGCAGCUCAAACCAAUAUAAAUCUGUUCUCUUACUGAUCUGGAAGUUAGAAGUCUGAAGUCAGCUUCGCUGGGCUGAAAGAUCAAUGUGUAAGAAAGGCUGAUUCCUUCUGUGAGAAGAGGAUCUGUUUCCUUGCCUUUUUAGGAUUUAGUGAUUACUUGCUUUCCUUUGCUUGUGACCCCUUCCUCCAUCUUCAAAGUAUGUCACUCCAGUCUCUGCCUCUCCUGUCACAUUAUCCUGUCUUCUAUCCAAGUCCUCCAGAAUCCUCUUCCAAAGGCUGUUGUUCUUACAUCAAACCUAUCCAGAUAAUCCAAGAUAAUCAUGUAAACUCAACUUUAAUCAUAUCUACAAAGUGUCUUUUGAUGUAUAAGGUAACUUCCUUAAGUUUUAAGAUUAGGAUGUGGACAUAUCGGUGGGGGCAUCAUUUAGCCUACCACUGACACCAUGAUUUAAUUUCAAUUUGCAAAGCCUUUUCUUGACUGCCAUGUUGGAAAAGGACAGAGAAACCAGAAAGGUGGCUCUUGCAACACCUUAAGCAAGAGAUGAUAAUGGUUCUGUCCAAGGUGGUGGCAGGUAUCUAAGGAGUUAAGAAGAUAUCUUGAAUAUGUUCUGAAGACAAAAAACACACGUUUUGCCAAUAUGGGUCAUAAGAAAAAUAGAAGAUACUUCAAAGCUUUUUAUUCUGAACUGCUAGAAGGAUAUAUAUGCUUUUCCCUAUAUGGGAAAGGUAAUGGAGGAGUGGAUUUGGAGUUUAACUUUGUACAUAUUACAUUUGAAAUGACUACAGAAGAACCAGAUUGGAAUGUCAGCAUUUGAAUUAAAUGUUAGUACUUGUGUACCAGACAUCUCUGCCCAGUAUUAGCAAACACUAGUUAAUUGCAGCCCAGUCUCAGCACACUUUGAUCUCUCCAAGCAAGACAAGCAGUGCCUUCCCCUUUUCAUCCCUCUUUGCAUAUCAGCCAUCCCUGCCUUCAUAUCAGCCAUGCCAGAUGCUUCCAGCCAGAUGCUUCCACUGUGCCACUAAAUGUCUUGAAAACAUACUCUUCUUACCUUCCCACACUUGCACCCCUUCUCUUUGCUGCCCAGAGCAGAAUUUUUUUCCCCAUUAAGUUUAUUGGUACAUUUUAGGUAUAAAAUACAGUUGCAUUCAUCAUUGGGAUCUUGUACCAUUACAUGAGUAUCUUGGUUCUUAUUGUUUUCCCCUUCCCUUGCCCUCCGUUCACCCCCUCCACCCUCCCCUAUUUGUAAAGACUUUGUUUCCAUUUUUUUCCUUUUCUCAUAUUUUUUCUUUUCCCUUCUUUCCUUUCCCCUAUCACACUGCCCCUGCACCUUUAGACCUUUUCUUCCUGUUACACAAUAUCAAUUAUACAUUUUUUAAAUUACAAUAUCAAGAUCUAGGAGACAUUACCACAGAUUUUACAGAAUUUAAAAGGAUAUAGAAAGCAUAUUACAAAAAUCCUUUUUGAAAUAAAUAUGACAACUUCUAAGAAGUACCUUGGAAGACAAAUUAAUGAAACUAACUCUGGAGGAAAUAUAAAAUUUGAAUAGCACCUAUUAAAGAAAGUAUAUUCCUAGCUUGAAAACCUACCUAUAUGACAACAGCAGGCUCAUAAACAUUUUAACUGAUAAAUUAUAUCAAACAUUUAAAGCAGAAAAAAGAAGGAACACUUCUCCCCUCAUUUUAGGAACUCAACAUUGUGCUAAUCCUAAAACUGGAUAAAGAUAAUAGAAGAAAAAAGUAUGAACAUAGAUAGAAAUUUGUUUAACAAAACAAACUAUUAGAAGUCAGAUCUGGCAGGAUGUAGAAAGUGGUUUUGUUAUAGGGAUGGCAGUGUUGGU
rnacentral:lncRNA from 1 species